CAAUAGCUUGUUGUCUUGGGCAUCAAGGCAACUCCAACCUAACUCUUGAGGACCAGUUGAUGAGCUAUAAAAUGGGCUAAGAAGCGUAUCUCCCUUGCACAACCUCAACCUCCUGCUGAUUUCCUCUUUGUGUGCAGCUCAUAGUCUAAGCAGGCUUGUUUCUUUCACUUCCUUUUGAUUCUUGUCCUUGAUUCAUUAGUAUCUUGUGUACUAAUUCUUUGGUUCGUUCCGUGAUGGUGCUUUUGUGAUGGAAAGCAGUGAUGAUUCAGAAUCAAUAGUGGCGGAAACUUGUCUUUUGAUGAUGUAAGAACUGAAGCUUUAAACUGCUGCUUGUGUUUUGAUGGUGUAAGAUCUGAAGCUUUAAACUGCUGCUUUCAUGGCCAUGCCCAACUUAUAUAUCUUUUGUUUAAUUACCUGGUUUUUGUCGGGGUUGGUUUGAAGGGAAGGAGAUGAUGAUACCAAAUGAUGGAUCGCUCGCCGAUCGUAAAUGGCAGAUUGUUUCUUCUGCCUUGACGACCAUCAGAAUGUGCAGUAUCUGAACCUUCCAAGUCUUCAUCCCCUCCUGUUUUCUCUCUCUCUCUCUCUCUCUUGUUUUUUUUUGAUAAAAAUCUUUUUUGUAUUACUUAUAUUUUUAUGUCAAAAUCAAAGUUUGAAAGUCAACGAUCUCUCUUUUUAUUUUUUUAAAAUAUAUUUUGGUAUUUUUGACAACUUUGGAAGUGGAAUUAUUAUUUUGAAGUGGUAAUUUAAUUCAAUCAGGUUUUGAAUGGGGUUUAAUACAUUAUCACUAGACAAAUGGAUUACAUUACUCCCAUCUAUUUUAGGUAAUAAAAAAAAAUUCUGAUCUUAUGAUCCAUUUGGCCAUCCAAUGAUGCUUUCAAUCUUGUAAUCAUUUUAUCUCCUAAUCUUCAAAAUAAUUAAGAUUAUCACCACAAAAAUCGAAAAGAGGAUAAAUGAUAUCUAUUUUUUUUUAAUUGAGAGAGAGAGAGAGAGAGAAAUUAACUUUUUUUUGGUCAUAAAAAGAUAGAUAUUAAACAAAUACUUCCCUCCAAACACACAUGAAAUCUGGUAGAGAGAAAUGAAGGAAUGUCUUCUAAUAAUUAUUAUUCAGAUUUGUGCAGCAUAUAAAAUAAAUCAUUGGAUUUGCCAAGAACUCUUCUUAGACAAAAAGAGUUCAGUGUGUUCCACCCAAAACGAAAAAGAAAAAGGAGAUCAGUGUGUCAUGUGGAUGAGCAACUCUGUCAUCUUUAAUAAUGUUCUGUAGGAUGAACAGCUUGUGACCUUUUAGUGUUUGUUUUGUCCUCUCCAUUUUAUAUAUAUAGAGGAUGAACAGCUUGUGUUGGAGAAUAAAAGUACUAAUGUUCAAUACUCAAUUGCAUGGGUUUGGUUUGCUUUUGUUUCUCAUGCAAUUUUGUCAUCAUUAAGUCACCUCAUUCUAUGCAAUGCGCUUCAUGAAUUCAAAUAUCCAUUACCCUUCUUUUUUUUACCUUAGGAUAAAAUAAAAAAUGAACUCGAAGAUCUAUAAUCAUUGCCUUAAGAUAAAAUGUGAUUGUGAAGUGAUUUGACUAACAUCUUUCAACAAAUCAAAUAAUAAAAUUAAAUUAAAUUAUAAUUAAAAAAUAAAAGAUAAGGGAUUAUUUAGUUUUUUAAUUUACGAUUGAUUAGGAGUUUAGGACUCUAUUUAUAGAGUCUAGAAAUGUCAAAAUAAAAAGCAUUUAUCAAUGGGACAUGUCCUUUCAUUUAUAAUCAUAAAAAAAAAUAAUUAUAUUUUGUGGAUUUGUUGCAAAUUCAUCUAAUUAUAUUAUUAUAUAUUCAACUUAAGUUUUUUUGUUUUUCUUUUGGGAAGGGCGGGAUGCAUGUAAGUAAGAAUGGAUGUUUGGGUCAACGAAGGAAAGGGACUUGCACUUGAGGGAAAUGGUCCAUCAGCUCUUCAAGGAACUCUGACACACUUGAACAUCAUUAUCUAUAAUAUUUGUAUAUAUUUAUUAUUCAGAUCUUUUUUUGAAAUACAGAAUCACUAAUGUAUAUAAUGAAUGUAACUGUAUUACUACUACCUGAUUAACUAUUUUAAUUUUAAUAGACAAAAUUUGGCCUUUUGUCAUUAUUAUCAUAAUAAUAAAAAGUUUUUGUCUUAAAAAAUUACACACAUGGAAUGAAAUGAAUAAUAAGUGGAAAUUCUAAUACUGAGCUAAUUUAAAUAUUUUAGAUUAAUAGUUCAGACUCAUUAAGUUUAUCCUAUCAAUCAGAUCAUGAUAAAUGAUACUAGAAUAAUUAUAACAUUAAAUAGAUUGAGAGACCCAAAUGAAAAAAAAUAUAUAUAUAUAUCAUACUAUUAGCAACAGUAUAAAUGGAAUGAGAUUGAAUUAUAUGAGAGAAAAAAUAUCACCAUAUUUAUCGAGCAGCUUUCUUUCUUUAAACUACAUACUUCACAAUGAUAUGAGACUGCACACGACAAAACGAUAUAGUUGAUGAUUCUCC
rnacentral:lncRNA from 1 species